AUUGAACGCUGGCGGCAGGCCUAACACAUGCAAGUCGAGCGGAUGAAGGGAGCUUGCUCCUGGAUUCAGCGGCGGACGGGUGAGUAAUGCCUAGGAAUCUGCCUGGUAGUGGGGGAUAACGUCCGGAAACGGGCGCUAAUACCGCAUACGUCCUGAGGGAGAAAGUGGGGGAUCUUCGGACCUCACGCUAUCAGAUGAGCCUAGGUCGGAUUAGCUAGUUGGUGGGGUAAAGGCCUACCAAGGCGACGAUCCGUAACUGGUCUGAGAGGAUGAUCAGUCACACGGGAACUGAGACACGGUCCAGACUCCUACGGGAGGCAGCAGUGGGGAAUAUUGGACAAAGGGCGAAAGCGUGAUCCAGCCAUGCCGCGUGUGUGAAGAAGGACUUCGGAUUGUAAAGCACUUUAAGUUGGGAGGAAGGGCAGUAAGUUAAUACCUUGCUGUAGUGACGUUACCAACAGAAUAAGCACCGGCUAACUUCGUG
rnacentral:rRNA from 1 species